rnacentral:rRNA from 1 species
UACGUAGGGGGCAAGCGUUGUCCGGAUUUAUUGGGCGUAAAGAGCGUGUAGGCGGCCUUACAGGUCAGCUGUGAAAAACUCGAGGCUCAACCUCGAGACGUCGGUUGAAACCGUAAGGCUAGAGUCCGGAAGAGGAGAGUGGAAUUCCCGGUGUAGCGGUGAAAUGCGCAGAUAUCGGGAAGAACACCCGUGGCGAAGGCGGCUCUCUGGGACGGUACUGACGCUGAGACGCGAAAGCGUGGGGAGCGAACAGG